rnacentral:hammerhead_ribozyme from 1 species
GUACUGAUGAUGAGUCCCAAAAAGGACGAAACAGCUGUCCCGUGC